UGGUGACCGGGCGACCCGCUUGGGGUCUGCCCUCGUGAGGCGCACAUUCAGUUCACUGUCCCCCUGUGAUUACCUAAGGCUGCCAGAUCCUGAAGGAGGGAGGAGGGGUGUGAAGCUUACUUUCCUGCCCUCAUCAGUGUGCCCUUCUUUCUGUUCUUCGUCCAGAUGCUGUAAUUCCGUGCUUGGAAUCCUUGGCUCCUAUGAAGGCAAAUGUACACACACAGGAAACACAGUGUUCUUGAGUUGCAUGCUGUGCUUCAGUAGCUGUCUUUUGUUCAGAACUUCAGCAUACUUGCAGAUCAUUUACCGUGUGUUUGAUAUACAAAACCAGCACAGGCUCUUUUUAAGCUGCCUCCAUGACUGGUGCUCUGUCCCAGGUAAUCAACAUGCCAAGACUUCUUUCUCUUCUCACUUAAUUAUAGAAAUGACAUUUCCUCUCUGCAAAUGUUCUGACUUGGAUUUCUACUUCAACAGAAAGAUUCCUUUCAAGUAUGGACCAUUCACUCUCAUUUGCACUGUUGCAAAUCUGGAAAACAUGAAAGCAGCAGAGCAUAUUUAAAAGUACCCAAAAAGCAAUGAACCAGAGGUUUUGUUCCACUUUUUACUAAUUAUCUUUGUGACAUUAGAUAAGCCACUUAAUCUGCUUGAGUCUCAUAUUUCUAUGUAGUAAAUUAGUAGGUAAUAGCAAAAUAAUCUGUCACCUCUCUCAUACUUUAAUAUUUUGUGAUUUCUAGCCAGAAAAAUACACUGAUUUACUAAGUACAGAACUUUUUCUUGCCAUUCCUAAUAAACUGGGAAAAAUAGUCUAAUAAAAUCUUCAGAGU